AGUCGAGGGGCAGCACAGGUAGCAAUACCGGGUGGCGACCGGCGCACGGGUGAGUAACGCGUAUGCAACUUGCCUAUCAGAGGGGGAUAACCCGGCGAAAGUCGGACUAAUACCGCAUGAAGCAGGGGCCCCGCAUGGGGAUAUUUGCUAAAGAUUCAUCGCUGAUAGAUAGGCAUGCGUUCCAUUAGGCAGUUGGCGGGGUAACGGCCCACCAAACCGACGAUGGAUAGGGGUUCUGAGAGGAAGGUCCCCCACAUUGGUACUGAGACACGGACCAAACUCCUACGGGAGGCAGCAGUGAGGAAUAUUGGUCAAUGGGCGUAAGCCUGAACCAGCCAAGUCGCGUGAGGGAUGAAGGUUCUAUGGAUCGUAAACCUCUUUUAUAAGGGAAUAAAGUGCGGGACGUGUCCCGUUUUGUAUGUACCUUAUGAAUAAGGAUCGGCUAACUCCGUGCCAGCAGCCGCGGUAAUACGGAGGAUCCGAGCGUUAUCCGGAUUUAUUGGGUUUAAAGGGUGCGUAGGCGGCCUUUUAAGUCAGCGGUGAAAGUCUGUGGCUCAACCAUAGAAUUGCCGUUGAAACUGGGGGGCUUGAGUAUGUUUGAGGCAGGCGGAAUGCGUGGUGUAGCGGUGAAAUGCAUAGAUAUCACGCAGAACCCCGAUUGCGAAGGCAGCCUGCCAAGCCAUUACUGACGCUGAUGCACGAAAGCGUGGGGAUCAAACAGGAUUAGAUACCCUGGUAGUCCACGCAGUAAACGAUGAUCACUAGCUGUUUGCGAUACACUGUAAGCG
rnacentral:rRNA from 1 species